AUAGCUGAGGUCAGUACUGCUUUGGCCAGACAAGAAGGGCUAAAUGAGCUUGCAGACCUCUAAUGCAUCUAACUUAUUGUUUGUUAAAUCAGCUCACUGCCAGAACUCCGGUUAAACAGAGCCACAGAAGAGAUCCAGUUUGCCUACUCCUUUUUGAAAAAAGCCUUGGCUGUGGCAAUGCAGUGAAGCAGGAGAUUG